CCCUGUAGUGAAGGAGAGCAAAACCAAUGGAUUUUUCGGAAAAUGAGCAUAAGCCACUUGUAGAGAAAGCAUUUAUGUAAUAAUUUGUAACAUUGCAUUAAAAUUCUGUUAGAAUUUCUAAGAUUCUAUUCUAUGUGGAGUAAUAUCUAACUACUUGAAGAACUGAUAAAAAGGUUGAUUCUGUUUUCUUAAUGGAAAUGAGGUUCUUCUCGGUCACUGAACAAAUGUAUGUUAUUAGAAAUCCCUUUCUAAUGUAUUCGAGACUUGGUCCAGCUCAUCCAGCACUGCAGACUUCCUGCCCAGCUGUGCAGGUCUACUGAAAACAUGUAUUUUUCUGUUAGAGUAGAUUUUUAUAAAUAGUUCUUUCAGUGUACUUUUUCACCCCUAUUUUUCCUCUUCUGGAAGAUAGGGGUAAAAUUCCUAUCUUAAAGAGUGUGUGGAAAUACACACUCUUGUGUAUACAGAUAGCAAAACACUUCAUGUGAAAGCGGAAGACAAACUUGGAGUAGCCCUUCUCUCACUUUCAGUGAGUACUGAGUGAAUAGCAGCUCCAAAUCCAUAAAAGUAUAUCAGCCAUUAUUGAGUGUAAGGGAAAAUAAAGUGCCGUCACAUAUGUUUAUGCCAUAUAUCAUUUAUCUUCCUAAAUAUCUCAUCAUAAAAAUACCAGUAUUAGUGUCCCUUAACUUUUUUCAAGCUGACAGGGAAGCAAUAUGUUAAAUGCAAAAUUUAUUUAAAAAUCCUUCUAGAUGUUUUUAGGGAUCACAGUGCACCUUGCUAAGAGAAGCCAUCGCUGAAUUUUAUUUUAAUUAUCUUUUAAGAAGCAAUUUAAUUCCAGGACAGUUUUUUCCAAGACCUAGAACAAAGCACAGCUUUAGGUGCCUAUAUUACACGCACAUAAUGUGGUAAUAAACCUACUUUAGCUCCAGCAGGUCCAGGUACUCCUGUUGGUCCUGUUAAUCCACGUAUUCCUCUCUGACCUUGAUCUCCCUACAAAAAUAGAGAAGAUAUAUCACAUACCAAAUAAUAUUAAGAACAUGUUAACUGAAAUUAGUUGUAAGUAUCAGUGAAAGACAGUGAAAUUCUGUCUUCUAGCUGGUGCACAUAAAAUCAUAGGAUCAUAGAAUAGUUAGGGUUGUUAGUAAGAAAGUCUUACCUUUUCCCCCUGAAUUCCAAUCCCUGCAGGACCUUCAGGACCUCUAAGACCAGGUAAACCUGGUUCACCCUUGAACAGAAAAAUCAAAGCAGCAUUUCAGAAUGCUGUAUAGACAUGGUGCAAGAUCAACUCUGUAUUCAUUUGAAUAAGCUCAUUAAAAUCAUAGAUCUUUCAGAGUCAGCGGCAAAACUCCCAUUGAGGUCAGUGGGCCCAGGAUUUUCUUUCCAUAUUGAGAAGCAACCAUUGUAAAACUCUGUGUGGAAUGCAUGAAGUGGCAUGUAUGUAAUCUUUAAAUGUGUGGCAUUUCUGAAUUUAGGAAAAUACCCUGAUUGGAAGGCUAUGAAAGGAUGCCUCUAGCCAUUCUAGUGGUUUCCCUUCUGAGUUGCAGGGCACUUUGUGGAUUAAAAAGACCCCAGAACUGUUUGGGUAUCCGCACAGGGAGAACAGUAGAAAUGCUUGCAGGGAAACAGGUAGGGUGCAGAAAGAGAUGAACCAACCUUUUGUCCUGGGGCUCCAUCUUCUCCUGGAAGACCAGGCAGACCUGCCAGUCCUGAAGGGCCUGGCUCACCCUGACAUCAGUAAAAAACCUUCAGGCCCUUGGUCUCCAGAUUGUCCUUGUGGACCCUAUUAAAACA